UGGCUCUCUCGGGAGUAUGUGCUCGCUCGUCAUCUUUAUCUUUCCACCUGUGCACUUUUUGUAGAUUUGGAUGUAACUGUCCGAGGCAACUCGGUUGGGAGGAAUGCUGUCUCCGAUGGCUUUCCUUGUAUGUCCAAGUCUAUGUUUUCAUAUACUCCAUGUAUGUAACAGAAUGUAUCACUAGGCCCUGUGCCUAUAAACUAUAUACAACUUUCAGCAACGGAUCUCUUGGCUCUCGCAUCGAUGAAGAACGCAGCGAAAUGCGAUAAGUAAUGUGAAUUGCAGAAUUCAGUGAAUCAUCGAAUCUUUGAACGCACCUUGCGCCCCUUGGUAUUCCGAGGGGCAUGCCUGUUUGAGUGUCAUUAAAUUCUCAACCUUACUAGCUUUUGCGAAGUAAUGGCUUGGACUUGGGGGUCUUUUGCUGGUUUCGAAAGAGAUCUGCUCCCCUUAAAUGUAUUAGCCGGUGCCCCGCGUGGACCGUCUAUUGGUGUGAUAAUUAUCUACGCCGUUAGACGUCUGCUAUUAAAUGGGAUGUGCUGCUUCUAAUCGUCCUCUGGACAAUUAUUGACCAUUUGACCUCAAAUCAGGUAGGACUACCCGCUGAACUUAAGCAUUCCAAUAGNCCGGAGGAA
rnacentral:rRNA from 1 species